UACGUAGGGGGCUAGCGUUGUCCGGAUUUAUUGGGCGUAAAGAGCGUGUAGGCGGCCAGGUAGGUCUGGUGUGAAAACUCGAGGCUUAACCUCGAGAUGUCAUCGGAAACCAUUUGGCUAGAGUCCGGAAGAGGAGAGUGGAAUUCCUGGUGUAGCGGUGGAAUGCGCAGAUAUCAGGAGGAACACCAAUAGCGAAGGCAGCUCGCUGGGACGUUACUGACACUGAGGCGCGAAAGCGUGGGGAGCGAACAGG
rnacentral:rRNA from 1 species